rnacentral:rRNA from 1 species
UACGUAGGUGGCAAGCGUUGUCCGGAUUUACUGGGCGUAAAGAGCGCGCAGGCGGUCGUUCAAGUCGCGUGUGAAAGCCCCCGGCUCAACUGGGGAGGGUCACGCGAUACUGAUCGACUCGAAGGCAGGAGAGGGUAGUGGAAUUCCCGGUGUAGUGGUGAAAUGCGUAGAUAUCGGGAGGAACACCAGUGGCGAAGGGCGACUUCCUGGCCUGUUCUUGACGCUGAGGC